AAGAUUUUUUUUUUUAAUAUAAAAAAGGGAAAACAAUUAAAUUGAGAAAGUUAAGAACAAAAGAAAUCAAAAAAGCAGAAAGAAAAGAGAAGAGAAAAAAGAGGCAUAGCAAUCUAAGUAUCUUUGGGGACAAUGUCACUUGAUUCUGUGCUUUAAUUUUCAAUAUUUUGAAAUAUUUUGGUUGACUAUGCAGAUGCUAUGUGAGGAAUGCAGU
rnacentral:misc_RNA from 1 species